rnacentral:rRNA from 1 species
AGAGUUUGAUCCUGGCUCAGGACAAACGCUGGCGGCGUGCCUAACACAUGCAAGUCGAACGCCCUGCAUUUCGGUGCAGGGAGUGGCGGACGGGUGAGUAACACAUGGGUGACCUACCCCCGAGUGAGGAAUACCGGCGAGAAAUCGCCGACAAUACCGCAUAGGUUUCGCAAGAAACAAAGCUCGCAAGGGCGCUUGGG